rnacentral:rRNA from 1 species
AAGUCGGUUGUGAAAGCCUUCCGCUCAACGGAAGAACGGCAUCCGAUACUGCAUGGCUUGAGUGUGGGAGGGGAGAGUGGAACUUCUGGUGGAGCGGUGAAAUGCGUAGAUAUCAGAAGGAACACCGGCGGCGAAGGCGACUCUCUGGUCCAUAACUGACGCUGAGUGUGCGAAAGCUAGGGGGGCAAACGGGAUUAGAUACCCCGGUAGUCCUAGCCGUAAACGAU